CCUACGGGUGGCAGCAGUGGGGAAUAUUGCGCAAUGGGCGAAAGCCUGACGCAGCGACGCCGCGUGAGGGAUGAAGGUCUUCGGAUCGGAAACCUCUGUCAGCAGGGAAGAACGGUCACUGUGCUAAUCAGCAGUGAAUUGACGGUACCUGCAAAGGAAGCACCGGCUAACUCCGUGCCAGCAGCCGCGGUAAUACGGAGGGUGCGAGCGUUAAUCGGAAUUACUGGGCGUAAAGCGGUCGUAGGCGGUAUGUCAAGGCAAGGGUGAAAUCCCCGGGCCCAAAGUGGGAACUGCCUUUGAAAAUGGCAAACUGGAGGGUGGGAGAGGCAUGUGGAAUUCCCGGUGGAGGGGUGAAAUCCCUAG
rnacentral:rRNA from 1 species